UCGAGGGGCAGCGGGAAGUCAGCUUGCUGACUUUGCCGGCGACCGGCGCACGGGUGAGUAACACGUAUCCAACCUCCCGCAUACUCGGGAAUAGCCUUUCGAAAGAAAGAUUAAUGCCCGAUGGUAUCUUAAGCACGCAUGAGAUUAAGAUUAAAGAUUUAUCGGUAAGCGAUGGGGAUGCGUUCCAUUAGGCAGUUGGCGGGGUAACGGCCCACCAAACCUACGAUGGAUAGGGGUUCUGAGAGGAAGGUCCCCACAAUGGAACUGAGACACGGUCCAUACUCC
rnacentral:rRNA from 1 species